UUAGGAAUAUUCGGCAAUGGGGGAAACCCUGACCGAGCAAUGCCGCGUGAAGGAUGACGGUCCUAUGGAUUGUAAACUUCUGUUGUUAGGGAAGAACGACCUAAGUAGGAAAUGACUUGGGAGUGACGGUACCUUUCAAGAAAGCUCCGGCUAACUACGUGCCAGCAGCCGCGGUAAUACGUAGGGAGCGAGCGUUAUCCGGAUUUAUUGGGUGUAAAGGGUGCGUAGGCGGCCAGAUAGGUCUAUGGUUUAAGCCCGAAGCUUAACUUCGGUUCGCCAUAGAAACCGUUUGGCUUGAGUAUGGUAGAGGCAAGUGGAAUUUCUAGUGUAGCGGUAAAAUGCGUAGAUAUUAGAAGGAACACCAGUGGCGAAGGCGACUUGCUGGGCCAUUACUGACGCUGAGGCACGAAAGCGUGGGGAGCAAAUAGG
rnacentral:rRNA from 1 species